AGUGAACGCUGGCGGUAGGCCUAACACAUGCAAGUCGAACGGCAGCACAGUAAGAGCUUGCUCUUACGGGUGGCGAGUGGCGGACGGGUGAGGAAUACAUCUGAAUCUACUUUUUCGUGGGGGAUAACGUAGGGAAACUUACGCUAAUACCGCAUACGACCUACGGGUGAAAGCAGGGGAUCUUCGGACCUUGCGCGAUUGAAUGAGCCGAUGUCGGAUUAGCUAGUUGGCGGGGUAAAGGCCCACCAAGGCGACGAUCCGUAGCUGGUCUGAGAGGAUGAUCAGCCACACUGGAACUGAGACACGGUCCAGACUCCUACGGGAGGCAGCAGUGGGGAAUAUUGGACAAUGGGCGCAAGCCUGAUCCAGCCAUACCGCGUGGGUGAAGAAGGCCUUCGGGUUGUAAAGCCCUUUUGUUGGGAAAGAAAAGCAGCAGGUUAAUACCCCGCUGUUCCGACGGUACCCAAAGAAUAAGCACCGGCUAACUUCGUG
rnacentral:rRNA from 1 species